CCAGGUUGAUUCUGCCUGACGUAGACGCUAUUCCCUAAGAUUAACCCAUGCAUGUUUUUGACAUUUGAAAAAUGGACUGCUCAGUAAUACUCACUUUAUUUUAUGUAAAUUUUUGAUUAAUUAACUACGUUAAAGUGUAGAUAAGAUGUUUACAGUAAGAGUGAGACCUAUCAGCUAGUUGUUAAGGUAAUGGCUUAACAAGGCUGUGACGGGUAACGGUAUUACUUUGUAAUAUUCCGGAGAAGGAGCCUGAGAGACGGCUACUAAGUCUAAGGAUUGCAGCAGGGGCGAAACUUGACCUAUGGAUUUUAUCUGAGGCAGUUAUGGGAAGUAAUAUUAUAUUGUUUCAUAUUUUAAAAGUAUAUGAGGUGAUUAAUUGGAGGGCAAAUCAAGUGCCAGCAGCCGCGGUAAUACUUGUUCCAAGAGUGUGUAUGAUGAUUGAUGCAGUUAAAAAGUCCGUAGUUUAUUUUUUUAAGAAGCAAUAUGAGGUGUACUGUAUAGUUGGGGGAAAGAUGAAAUGUGACGACCCUGACUGGACGAACA
rnacentral:rRNA from 1 species